GACGAACGCUGGCGGCGUGCCUAAUACAUGCAAGUUAAGCGGAGUCAUUUUGAAAGCUUGCUUUCGAAAUGACUUAGCGGCGGACGGGUGAGUAACACGUAGGCAACCUGCCCUUCAGACUGGGAUAACUACCGGAAACGGUAGCUAAUACCGGAUAAUUUCUUUUUUCUCCUGAGAGAAGAAUGAAAGACGGAGCAAUCUGUCACUGAGGGAUGGGCCUGCGGCGCAUUAGCUAGUUGGUGGGGUAACGGCCCACCAAGGCGACGAUGCGUAGCCGACCUGAGAGGGUGAACGGCCACACUGGGACUGAGACACGGCCCAG
rnacentral:rRNA from 1 species